AUUGAACGCUGGCGGCAGGCCUAACACAUGCAAGUCGAGCGGUAGCACAGAGAGCUUGCUCUCGGGUGACGAGCGGCGGACGGGUGAGUAAUGUCUGGGAAACUGCCUGAUGGAGGGGGAUAACUACUGGAAACGGUAGCUAAUACCGCAUAACGUCGCAAGACCAAAGUGGGGGACCUUCGGGCCUCAUGCCAUCAGAUGUGCCCAGAUGGGAUUAGCUGGUAGGUGGGGUAACGGCUCACCUAGGCGACGAUCCCUAGCUGGUCUGAGAGGAUGACCAGCCACACUGGAACUGAGACACGGUCCAGACUCCUACGGGAGGCAGCAGUGGGGAAUAUUGCACAAUGGGCGCAAGCCUGAUGCAGCCAUGCCGCGUGUGUGAAGAAGGCCUUCGGGUUGUAAAGCACUUUCAGCGGGGAGGAAGGCGGUGAGGUUAAUAACCUCAUCGAUUGACGUUACCCGCAGAAGAAGCACCGGCUAACUCCGUGCCAGCAGCCGCGGUAAUACGGAGGGUGCAAGCGUUAAUCGGAAUUACUGGGCGUAAAGCGCACGCAGGCGGUCUGUCAGGUCGGAUGUGAAAUCCCCGGGCUCAACCUGGGAACUGCAUUCGAAACUGGCAGGCUAGAGUCUUGUAGAGGGGGGUAGAAUUCCAGGUGUAGCGGUGAAAUGCGUAGAGAUCUGGAGGAAUACCGGUGGCGAAGGCGGCCCCCUGGACAAAGACUGACGCUCAGGUGCGAAAGCGUGGGGAGCAAACAGGAUUAGAUACCCUGGUAGUCCACGCUGUAAACGAUGUCGACUUGGAGGUUGUGCCCUUGAGGCGUGGCUUCCGGAGCUAACGCGUUAAGUCGACCGCCUGGGGAGUACGGCCGCAAGGUUAAAACUCAAAUGAAUUGACGGGGGCCCGCACAAGCGGUGGAGCAUGUGGUUUAAUUCGAUGCAACGCGAAGAACCUUACCUGGUCUUGACAUCCACAGAACUUUCCAGAGAUGGAUUGGUGCCUUCGGGAACUGUGAGACAGGUGCUGCAUGGCUGUCGUCAGCUCGUGUUGUGAAAUGUUGGGUUAAGUCCCGCAACGAGCGCAACCCUUAUCCUUUGUUGCCAGCGGUCCGGCCGGGAACUCAAAGGAGACUGCCAGUGAUAAACUGGAGGAAGGUGGGGAUGACGUCAAGUCAUCAUGGCCCUUACGACCAGGGCUACACACGUGCUACAAUGGCAUAUACAAAGAGAAGCGACCUCGCGAGAGCAAGCGGACCUCAUAAAGUAUGUCGUAGUCCGGAUUGGAGUCUGCAACUCGACUCCAUGAAGUCGGAAUCGCUAGUAAUCGUAGAUCAGAAUGCUACGGUGAAUACGUUCCCGGGCCU
rnacentral:rRNA from 1 species